rnacentral:rRNA from 1 species
UACGUAGGGGGCGAGCGUUGUCCGGAAUCAUUGGGCGUAAAGCGCGUGUAGGCGGCUCGGUAAGUCUGCUGUGAAAGUCCAGGGCUCAACCCUGGGAUGCCGGUGGAUACUGUCGAGCUCGAGUCCGGAAGAGGCGAGUGGAAUUCCUGGUGUAGCGGUGAAAUGCGCAGAUAUCAGGAGGAACACCAAUGGCGAAGGCAGCUCGCUGGGACGUGACUGACGCUGAGACGCGAAAGCGUGGGAGC